rnacentral:sRNA from 2 species
AUUUCUAAAUCGCUGAAGCACUGAACGCGGGGGAACCAAUUUUGACGGAUUGUAUAGGCAAUCCUUGGGGUGAAUCUCUUUAUUAUUAAAGACGUAGGGCUACUCAUGGUCCGAAUCCGACAGCUAACCUCGUAAGCGUUAAGAGCAGAAAA